UACGUAGGGGGCGAGCGUUAUCCGGAUUUACUGGGCGUAAAGCGUGCGCAGGCGGCUAUGCAAGACAGAUGUGAAAUCCCCGGGCUCAACCUGGGAACUGCAUUUGUGACUGCAUAGCUAGAGUACGGUAGAGGGGGAUGGAAUUCCGCGUGUAGCAGUGAAAUGCGUAGAUAUGCGGAGGAACACCGAUGGCGAAGGCAAUCCCCUGGACCUGUACUGACGCUCAUGCACGAAAGCGUGGGGAGCAAA
rnacentral:rRNA from 1 species